GGCGUAGCGCAGCUGGAUAGCGCGUCAGACUCCGACUCUGAAGGUCGUGGGUUCGAAUCCCAUCGUCUA
rnacentral:tRNA from 1 species